rnacentral:rRNA from 1 species
ACAUGCCUACAACUUAGCGUUAAUGCACCAUAUCCCAUUAGAACUAUGCAGUUAAGCACACUCAGGCUAGAAUAGUACUGGGAUGUGUGAUCGUCUAGAAAGUCCUAGUGUUUUACAUGCC